rnacentral:rRNA from 1 species
AUUGAACGCUGGCGGCAGGCCUAACCCAUGCAAGUCGAACGAGUGGCGGACGGGUGAGUAAUGACUGGGAAACUGCCUGAUGGAGGGGGAUAACUACUGGAAACGGUAGCUAAUACCGCAUACCAUCGGAUGUGCCCAGAUGGGAUUAGCGAGUAGGUGGGGUAACGGCUCACCUAGGCGACGAUCUCUAUCUGGUCUGAGAGGAUGAGCAGCACAGCUGGAACUGAGACACGGUCCAGACUCCUACGGGAGGAAGCAGUGGGGAAUAUUGCACAAUGGGCGCAAUCCUGAUGCAGCCAGGCCGCGUGUAUGAAGAAGGCCUUCGGGUUGUAAAGUACUUUCAGCGGGGAGGCGUUACCCGCAGAAGAAGCACCGGCUAACUCCGUGCCAGCAGACGCGGUAAUAC